CCUACGGGUGGCUGCAGUGGGGAAUAUUGGACAAUGGGGGCAACCCUGAUCCAGCCAUGCCGCGUGUGUGAAGAAGGCCCUCGGGUUGUAAAGCACUUUCAGUGAGGAAGAACGCCUGGUGGUUAAUACCCAUCAGGAAAGACAUCACUCACAGAAGAAGCACCGGCUAACUCCGUGCCAGCAGCCGCGGUAAUACGGAGGGUGCGAGCGUUAAUCGGAAUUACUGGGCGUAAAGCGCGCGUAGGUGGCUUGAUAAGCCGGUUGUGAAAGCCCCGGGCUCAACCUGGGAACGGCAUCCGGAACUGUCAAGCUAGAGUGCAGGAGAGGAAGGUAGAAUUCCCGGUGUAGUGGUGAAAUGCGUAGAGAUCGGGAGGAAUACCAGUGGCGAAGGCGGCCUUCUGGACUGACACUGACACUGAGGUGCGAAAGCGUGGGUAGCAAACAGGAUUAGAUACCCCGGUAGUC
rnacentral:rRNA from 1 species